rnacentral:rRNA from 1 species
GUGUCAGCAGCCGCGGUAAUACGUAGGGUGCGAGCGUUGUCCGGAAUUAUUGGGCGUAAAGAGCUUGUAGGCGGUUUGUCGCGUCUGCCGUGAAAAUCCGGGGCUCAACCCCGGACUUGCGGUGGGUACGGGCAGACUAGAGUGUGGUAGGGGAGACUGGAAUUCCUGGUGUAGCGGUGAAAUGCGCAGAUAUCAGGAGGAACACCGAUGGCGAAGGCAGGUCUCUGGGCCACUACUGACGCUGAGAAGCGAAAGCGUGGGGAGCGAACAGGAUUAGAAACCCUAGUAGUCC